rnacentral:rRNA from 1 species
CAUGGGUAGCAAACAGGAUUUGGUACCCUGGUAGUCCAUGCUAUAAACAAUGAAUAUUAAAUGUUUAAUAUAAAAUUUAACAUAAAAAGUUAACACGUUAAAUAUUUCGCCUGGGGAGUAAAACCGCAAGGUUGAAACUCAAAGGAAUUGACGGGAGCUUAUACUUACGGUGGAGCAUGUGGUUUAAUCCGAUAGUCCGCGUGGAAUCUUACCAAUUUUUGACAGUCCUAAGUUAUACCUAGAAACAGGUGUUGCAUGGCCGUCGUCAGCUUAUGUUUUGAAAUUUAAGAUAUAAGUACAACCCUUACUUUAAUUUACUAAUAUUCAAAAAAAUUAAAAAUAUUUAAUUAUAUUGAAUAAGUACUAUUAAAUUUGAAAUAUGUAAAUAUUUUAAAGGAUGAAGAUAGGUCGUUAUGACCCUUAUAAAUU